AUAUCUUGCUUCACAAAGCAUCGCCCAAAUUAAUUUUUGGAGUUGGAAAGAUAUGCCAUUUAUGGCCCGAUGGAUGGCUGCAUUUUUUAGAUUGGUGAUUGGCAGUUAGUGUGGGUGUUGGCACCUAUAAAUAGGGAUCAAAGGCUGGUUGAACUCCAUCUUUUGCUUGUCUUCCUUUUGUUUCUACAAAAACUUCUUCUCCCGUUUGCCACCAUGGUGCCAACUUCGUAAGCCAUUAAAGCUAGGGUGAAGGAGAGGAGGGCUACCAAAAAAGCAACCCGA
rnacentral:lncRNA from 1 species